rnacentral:misc_RNA from 1 species
GGAUGAAGAACGCAGCGAAAUGCGAUAAGUAAUGUGAAUUGCAGAAUUCAGUGAAUCAUCGAAUCUUUGAACGCACCUUGCGCUCCUUGGUAUUCCGAGGAGCAUGCCUGUUUGAGUGUCAUUAAAUUCUCAACCUCACCAGUUUUGUAACGAGACAGGUGAAGGCUUGGAUGUGGGGGUUUUGCAGGCUGCCUCAGUGCUGGUCUGCUCUCCUGAAAUGCAUUAGCGAGCUCAUAUUGAGCUUCCGUCUAUUGGUGUGAUAAUUAUCUACGCCGUGGAUUGGACUCAUGCUUGCUUCUAACCGUCCGCAAGGACAAUUUACUUGACCAAUUUGACCUCAAAUCAGGUAGGACUACCCGCUGAACUUAAGCAUAUCAAUAAGCGGAGGA